GACGAACGCUGGCGGCGUGCUUAACACAUGCAAGUCGAACGGAAAGGCCCUGCUUUUGUGGGGUGCUCGAGUGGCGAACGGGUGAGUAACACGUGAGUAACCUGCCCUUGACUUUGGGAUAACUUCAGGAAACUGGGGCUAAUACCGGAUAGGAGCUCCUGCUGCAUGGUGGGGGUUGGAAAGUUUCGGCGGUUGGGGAUGGACUCGCGGCUUAUCAGCUUGUUGGUGGGGUAGUGGCUUACCAAGGCUUUGACGGGUAGCCGGCCUGAGAGGGUGACCGGGCCCCAUGGGACUGGGGGUCCGGCCAGACUUCCUCGGGGGGGCGCAGGUGGGAAUUAUUCCAAAAGGGCCGAAGCCCGAAUCCACAAAGCCCGGGUGGGGAAGAACGCCUUUGGGGUUGAAACCCGCUUCGCCUGUGACGAAGCGUGAGUGACGGUAAUGGGUAAAGAAGCACCGGCUAACUACGUG
rnacentral:rRNA from 1 species